CGCCGCGUGAACUGAUGAAGGUCUUUCGGGAUGGUAAAGGUCUUUUGCAGGGGACGAAGGAAGUGACGGUACCCUGCAAAUAAGCCCCGGCUAACUACGUGC
rnacentral:rRNA from 1 species